rnacentral:rRNA from 1 species
AGCCACACUUUCACUGAAACAAGGGGAAGGCUCACAUAGAGGCAGCAGUAGAGAAUCUUGUGCAAUGCACGAAAGUAUGACACAGAGAGGACACAUUUAAUUGAGCCCGUCAAAUUAAGUGCCAGCCGACGCGGUUAGACUUAAGGGCUGGUCUUUAUAAGUAAAAAGGCGUAAAGGAUGUGUAGGCCAAGAAAUUGUCCAAGAAGGUAAAUGGAAUUUUUCUGGAGCGGUAGAAUGUGAGGAUAGAAAAUAGAACACCUAAGGUUAAAACUAUUUACCACAAAAUAGGCUGAAACAUGAAAGUGUGGGGAGCAAACAGGAUUAGAGACCCUGGUAGUCCACACUGUGAACUUUGAAGAUGAUGCUUAGCAGACCCGAAAGGUAAAAUCUUCCGCCUGAGUAGUACGAUCGCAAGAUUAAAAUUCAAAAACUUUGGCUGUUCACUAUUUCGAUUAGAGGAGCGUGUAGUUUAAUUCGAUGGUCCGCGUGUUACCUUACCCCAGCUUGAAUCUAUGACCGGUAUUGCAUGGCCGUCGUAAGUCCGUGUGUUAAGCUAGAAGGGACCCAAUCCGGGCGUUUGCCCGAAGGAAGUCAGGUCUUAUGAUCCGAAUGUUGGGGGAUUUUAUGCGCUACAUUUUCUUAUAUAAUGAGAGACUUGAAAGGUAAGCCUCUAAAGUAAGAGUUCGGAAGGUCGCUGUAAAACGACUGGAAGUUGGAUUUAAUAGUAAUCGGAAAGUAGGGCGUUCCGGUGAAUUGGUACAAGUGUUAGCACAAAUUGCCCGUCACCUUUACCUAGGAUGGUUAUUCGGACGCCGUCUGUGGUUACGAAUGCCUACGAGGUAAAGCAAGUCGUAA